UCGGGAAUUUUGGGCAAUGGGCGAAAGCCUGACCCAGCAACGCCGCGUGAAGGAUGAAGUAUUUCGGUAUGUAAACUUCGUAAGAAUAGGAAGAAUAAAUGACGGUACUAUUUAUAAGGUCCGGCUAACUACGUGCCAGCAGCCGCGGUAAUACGUAGGGACCAAGCGUUGUUCGGAUUUACUGGGCGUAAAGGGCGCGUAGGCGGCAAUUCAAGUCAUCUGUGAAAUCUCCGGGCUUAACUCGGAACGGUCAGAUGAUACUGCUUUGCUAGAGUGCAGAAGGGGCAAUCGGAAUUCUUGGUGUAGCGGUGAAAUGCGUAGAUAUCAAGAGGAACACCUGAGGUGAAGACGGGUUGCUGGGCUGAUACUGACGCUGAGGCGCGAAAGCUAGGGUAGCAAACGGGAUUAGAUACCCCAGUAGUCCCUGAGCGGGCUGGCAAGGCGCAU
rnacentral:rRNA from 1 species